GAUGAAGAACGUAGCAAAAUGCGAUACUUGGUGUGAAUUGCAGAAUCCCGUGAACCAUCGAGUUUUUGAACGCAAGUUGCGCCCGAAGCCUUUUGGCCGAGGGCACGUCUGCCUGGGCGUCACGCAUCGCGUCGCCCCCCACAAUUCUCCGUAAAAGGAACAUGUGUUUUGGGGGCGGAUAUUGGUCUCCCGUGCUCAUGGCGUGGUUGGCCGAAAUAGGAGUCCUUUCGAUGGACGCACGAACUAGUGGUGGUCGUAAAAACCAUCGUCUUUUGUUUCGUGCUGUUGCUCGCAAGGUAAACUCUUUAAAAACCCCAAUGUGUCGUCUCUUGACGACGCUUCGACCGCGACCCCAGGUCAGGCGGGACUACCCGCUGAGUUUAAGCAUAUCAAAAGCGGAGGA
rnacentral:misc_RNA from 1 species